AUUAAGAUGUCUGAUUUAGGUGGUAAAUUGUAAAUUUAUUUAGGAAUUUUAAUUCUCUUAAUA
rnacentral:tRNA from 1 species